rnacentral:rRNA from 1 species
GACAGAGGGUGCAAACGUUGUUCGGAAUUACUGGGCGUAAAGCGCGUGUAGGCUGCUCGGAAAGUCGGAUGUGAAAGCCCUGGGCUCAACCUAGGAAGUGCAUUCGAAACUUCCGAGCUGGAGUGCUGGAGAGGAAGGCGGAAUUCUCGGUGUAGAGGUGAAAUUCGUAGAUAUCGAGAGGAACACCGGUGGCGAAGGCGGCCUUCUGGACAGCGACUGACGCUGAGACGCGAAAGCGUGGGUAGCGAACAGG